rnacentral:rRNA from 1 species
UACCAGCACCCCGAGUGGUCGGGGCGAUUAUUGGGCCUAAAGCAUCCGUAGCCGGUCCUGCAAGUCUUCCGUUAAAUCCAGCUGCUCAACAGAUGGGCUGCGGGGGAUACUACAGGGCUAGGAGGCGGGAGAGGCAAGCGGUACUUUAUGGGUAGGGGUAAAAUCCGUUGAUCCAUAGAAGACCACCAGUGGCGAAGGCGGCUUGCCAGAACGCGCUCGACGGUGAGGGAUGAAAGCUGGGGGAGCAAACCGG